rnacentral:hammerhead_ribozyme from 1 species
AUCCAGCUGAUGAGUUCCAUAUGGGACGAAACGGGUGUCCUAGAU